GAUGAAGAACGCAGCGAAAUGCGAUAAGUAGUGUGAAUUGCAGAAUUCAGUGAAUCAUCGAAUCUUUGAACGCACAUUGCGCCCUUUGGUAUUCCAAAGGGCAUGCCUGUUCGAGCGUCAUUUGUACCCUCAAGCUUUGCUUGGUGUUGGGCGUCUUGUCUCCAGUCCGCUGGAGACUCGCCUUAAAGUCAUUGGCAGCCGGCCUACUGGUUUCGGAGCGCAGCACAAGUCGCACUCUUUUCCAGCCAAGGUCAGUGUCCAACAAGCCUUUUUUCAACUUUUGACCUCGGAUCAGGUAGGGAUACCCGCUGAACUUAAGCAUAUCAAUAAGCGGAGA
rnacentral:misc_RNA from 1 species